rnacentral:ncRNA from 1 species
AAUGCUGCUGUUUUCCGCUUCUUUUUUUACUUUAGCGCCUGAUUUCAGGAGGCUUCUGCGCGUAAGAGAAGAAACGGAAAAUAGCGCCAAAGCCUCCCUCGCGGAGGCUUUUUUUUU